rnacentral:rRNA from 1 species
GUAAGCUGCUCUGGCGAUGCGGGAUGAACCGAACGUGGUGUUAAAGCGCCGGACUGUCCGCUCAUCAGAUCCCACAAAAGGUGUUGGUUCAUAUAGACAGCAGGACGGUGGCCAUGGAAGUUGGAAUCCGCUAAGGAGUGUGUAACAACUCACCUGCCGAAUGAACUAGCCCUGAAAAUGGAUGGCGCUCAAGCGUGUUACCGAUACUUGACCGAGUAG